rnacentral:rRNA from 1 species
CGCCGCGGUAAUACGUAGGUGGCAAGCGUUGUCCGGAUUUAUUGGGCGUAAAGCGAGCGCAGGCGGAAUGAUAAGUCUGAUGUGAAAGCCCACGGCUCAACCGUGGAACUGCAUCGGAAACUGUCAUUCUUGAGUGCAGAAGAGGAGAGUGGAACUCCAUGUGUAGCGGUGGAAUGCGUAGAUAUAUGGAAGAACACCAGUGGCGAAGGCGGCUCUCUGGUCUGCAACUGACGCUGAGGCUCGAAAGCAUGGGUAGCGAACAGGAUUAGAUACCCUGGUAGUCCAUGCCGUAAACGAUGAGCGCUAGGUGUUGGGGACUUUCCGGUCCUCAGUGCCGCAGCAAACGCAUUAAGCGCUCCGCCUGGGGAGUACGACCGCAAGGUUGAAACUCAAAGGAAUUGACGGGGGCCCGCACAAGCGGUGGAGCAUGUGGUUUAAUUCGAAGCAACGCGAAGAACCUUACCAGGUCUUGACAUCCUGCGCUACACCUAGAGAUAGGUGGUUCCCUUCGGGGACGCAGAGACAGGUGGUGCAUGGCC